AAGUCUAACUACAUGGAUUGGUUUCUGUUUUGCGCAGGUUACUGUUUUUGUAUCUCAAAGCCAAAAGCCACAGGCAUGGCCACAGUUACUGUUCAUCUCAGGGAUGUGAAAGAGUCAAGAUCCAGGCAGCCACAGACUCAAAGGACAUCAGUAACUGCAUGGCCAAAGCAUACCCACAGUACUACAGAAAGCCGUCAGUGGUCAAGCGGAUGCCGGCCAUGCUCACUGGACUCUGUCAAGGCUGUGGCACUCGGCAGGUGGUGUUUACUAGUGAUCCUCAUAAAAGUUACCUCCCUGUGCAAUUCCAGUCACCUGAUAAAGCAGAAACCCAGCGUGGAGACCCGUCUGUUAUUUCUGUCAAUGGCACUGACUUUACCUUCCGAAGUGCAGGCGUCCUCCUCCUUGUUGUGGAUCCGUGCAGCGUUCCAUUCCGCUUGACGGAAAAAAAGGUUUUUCCUCUUGCUGAUGUCAGUCGCAUUGAAGAGUAUUUAAAAACAGGCAUCCCUCCAAGGUCCAUUGUUCUGUUGAGCACAAGAGGAGAAAUAAAGCAGUUGAACAUUUCACACUUACUAGUACCUCUGGGAUUAGCCAAACCAGCUCAUCUUUAUGACAAAGGGAGUACCAUAUUUUUGGGAUUCAGUGGAAACUUUAAACCAUCAUGGACUAAGCUAUUUACCAGUCCUGCUGGACAGGGCCUUGGGGUGCUUGAACAAUUCAUACCUUUGCAGCUGGACGAAUAUGGUUGUCCCAGAGCCACCACUGUCCACAGAAGAGACCUGGAACUGCUAAAGCAAGCUUCAAAAGCACAUUAGAGACUAACUGUAACUUAAGUGCUGGGGGAAAAAAAAUGUGAACUAACUUAUUUAAUUUAUGGCAUUUUAAAAUGACACUGUUAACCCAACGGAACCAUUUUCCAGUUUGAUACAGAAUGGGGAGAAAAGAAAGCGUUUGAAAUUAUUGCUUGGAUACCAGCUUCAUGCACCUUCUAGUUGUACAAAAUGUUAAAGACGUUGUUUGUAUUUGUAAGGCUGGUGUAUUCAGAGAGCAGAUCUCUUAUUCCUCACUUUCCACCCCCGUAUUUUGUAAUGACCAUGAGCAAUGCUUUUACUUUUUGUAUAAUGGGGUGGGGUGGAGUGGGGGCUUCUGAGAGUCAGCCUGAGGUCUUUAGAGGACCAGCUAUUGUAGCACCUUGGAUACUUGAAGUCUAAUGCUCAGUUGGGUCGGAUGGCGGUUGACUUGGUGGCUGGCAUGUUCAGCAGUGCCUGGGGCCCUGUUUCUGGGCAGCCUUUGAGGAUUUUCUAUGAUAUUGAAUGACAGUUUUAAGUGGCAACUCAGGCCCAGCUCAUGCCCUUUUUUGCCUGGACAUGUGCUAUUUUUAUUCACUUAUAUAUCAAUUACUUGUAAGGGUUAAACUUUCAAACAGGAAGUAUAUUGGGACAAAAGGGCUCUUGGGGAUUAGAUAUCCCUUAAUCUGUGACCAUUGGGCAAAAAAUUUUCCUGCAGCAAAAGUCUGAGGCUGUUGGGACCAUUUUUGCAGCUUUAAUCCUUAGCCUCUUUUGACUGUAUAUUUGUGUUUAAAAUGCAGAGCUCAACUGAAUAUUUCCUUUUUUGUUUUGUUUUGUUUUGUUUUGUUUUAAGAAGUAGGUUGUUUUCCUGAACCGUAAACUUGUAUCAUUUUAACUUGCACAAAGGAAGUCUGUUCUUGGUAUUGCUCUUGCACUUGGGUUUUUUGUUACUGUUUUGUGUGGAUUUUUUAGAGCUUUUCUGUUCACCCUCCUGCCAGGAAAAUCCCAGAAAGCUUAAUGAUACCCCAAAAUGAUUACACCCAGGGAGGAAAAAAAGGAGCGCUUUCCAGGGUCAGAAUCGUGGAGAGAAUACUCAGAAAUGAACCUCUUUAAAGCCUUACAGGAAUGAGUCACUCUUACUUAAUGAAAUGUUAAAGCCAAUUAAAAAGCGUGCUGUGAUGCCCAGCUUCCCUUUCCACAGGGUGCAUGCAUCUCCUGCUGGUGAAUCACAUGCGGCAAGAGGCAACUGGCUCCACAGCCUGGGAUGCUGCUGUACCAAGAGGAAAGAAGCAGCAAAAUGCCUUUAUGUUGUUCUAAACCCCCCACGCAUAAAGUGUAGAGGAGGGAUGGCCAAGGGUGGGUGGUAGAAAGUGUGUUCAGGCUGACACUGGCAGUGAGUACAGAUAAUUUCACUUUCCUCUUCCAGGGUCAAAGGCUGAUGGCCUCUACCUUUGUAUCCAGGAGAAACUGCAGAGCAGCCCUGUGACUUUACAAAAUAUGCUACCUCAAAGUGCUACCGAUAAACCUUUCUAACUAUAAGUGCCCUUACUAAGGGCACAUGUCUUAAUCAAAGUUAGUUUUUUGUUUUCUGGUUUUUUUUUUUUUUUUUUUUUGUAUAUUGAUGAAUGAGAUCUUACCUAUUAAAUAUAUUAUUGGAUCAUGGUUCCUGAAGGUCAUUAAAGUUUGAGUGUGAGUGUGUGUGUGUGUGUGUGUGUGUGUUUUAUGACUUAAAUAUCUUUAUGUGUGUUUUUUAGAGCUUGGUUCUUUAAAGAUUUGGAGAAGAUAUGUAAAUUACCAAGGCACUUGGUUUUUCUGUUUCAUAUACUAAUAAUCAGGGCCUAAGUUAAAUAAAAAUAUGUGUGCAUGU
rnacentral:sRNA from 1 species